GUCGGGGUAGCUCAGAUGGUUAGAGCACAGCACUCAUAACGCUGAGGUCGUGGGAUCGUUCCCCACCCCCGACACCA
rnacentral:tRNA from 1 species